CAAUAGCGUAUAUUAAAGUUGUUGCAGUUAAAAAGCUCGUAGUUGAAUUUUUGCUUGCCGCCGAUGUCGGAACUUCCGUACGUUCGGCGGCGCGCAUCCUUGGGUGGAACCUGUGUGGCAUUAGGUUGUCGUGCAGGGGAUGCUCAUCGUUUACUGUGAAAAAAUUAGAGUGUUCAAAGCAGGCUUACGCCGUUGAAUAUAUUAGCAUGGAAUAAUAAGAUAGGACCUUGGUACUAUUUUGUUGGUUUGCGCACCGAGGUAAUGAUUAACAGGGACAGUUGGGGGUAUUCGUAUUCCAUUGUCAGAGGUGAAAUUCUUGGAUUUCUGGAAGACGAACUACUGCGAAAGCAUUUACCAAGGAUGUUUUCGUUAA
rnacentral:rRNA from 1 species